GCCGGGCGCGGUGGCGCACGCCUGUAGUCCCAGCUACUCGGGAGGCUGAGCUCGCCGGAUCGCUUGAGCCCAGGAGUUCUGGGCUGCAGUGCGCUAUGCCGAGCGGGCAUCCGCGCUAAGGCCGGCAUCAAUAUGGUGAGCCUCGGGGAGCCGGGGCACACCAGGUUGCCUAAGGAGGGGUGAACCGGCCCAGGUCGGAAAACACGUGAAGAAAAAGCAAAGCAUUGCAAAGUCCUCUGGGGAAUGUAGUUUUCUCCCUGACUCCCAAUGCACCACAUGAUGCCAUGAUGUGGAAUACCAGUACCA
rnacentral:SRP_RNA from 1 species